AUUGAACGCUGGCGGCAGGCUUAACACAUGCAAGUCGAGCGGGGUGAUGGUGCUUGCACUAUCACUUAGCGGCGGACGGGUGAGUAAUGCUUAGGAAUCUGCCUAUUAGUGGGGGACAACAUCUCGAAAGGGAUGCUAAUACCGCAUACGUCCUACGGGAGAAAGCAGGGGAUCACUUGUGACCUUGCGCUAAUAGAUGAGCCUAAGUCGGAUUAGCUAGUUGGUGGGGUAAAGGCCUACCAAGGCGACGAUCUGUAGCGGGUCUGAGAGGAUUAUCCGCCACGCUGGGACUGGGCCACGGCCCAGACUCCUACGGGAGUCAGCAGUGGGGAAUAUUGGACAAUGGGGGGAACCCUGAUCCAGCCAUGCCGCGUGUGUGGAGAAGGCCUUAUGGUUGUAAAGCACUUUAAGCGAGGAGGAGGCUCUUUUGGUUAAUACCCAAGAUGAGUGGACGUUACUCGCAGAAUAAGCACCGGCUAACUCUGUGCAGCCGCCGCCGUAA
rnacentral:rRNA from 1 species